CACGUGGCUCUUCUAGACUCUGGAGGCUUUUGCCAUCACAAAUGAAAACGAAGGCAGAUGCUAUCAGUCAGAAGCAAGAAGAGAAAGGUGUGAGGACAACAUGAGAGGGUGCCGCAGGGACUGUCCCUGUCCAGGUAAAGGCUCUAUGGAGGGCAUAGAAGAUACAUGGCACCCUGCAGGGCAGGACAUUCUGAACACCAUGAAAGCAACAUUAUAGAUAGUUCCAGCCUUGGUGGAAUUUAAUGCAGAAGAGAUGACAUGUCAGAGUGACUGGAGCAUGAGGCGAUCGUAUGCACACGAUGAAGCUUUGCAUAAAGAAACAACAGGCUAAGAGAGUCUCCUGAGAAAAGCUGGGCUUGUGAGAUAACCAGCCCUACUCGGAGAAGCUUUGGAAAAAGAAAAACAAAAACUCAACUUUACAACUGUAUAUCUGGACCAAACACCUGAGGGACUGUCGGUAAAUCCUUUACUAUAUGACACUGCCCAUGCCUGGAAAUGAGGGAUAGCGUAUACUCCAAGGAACAACAUCUCUUGUAGGGUUUCACUUCCUGAAAAGCUACUGAAGAAAAAAACCAUUGAAGUCAUGGGACAAAGGGCUAUUCCUCUGAGUUAAAUAACAAUGUCCCCUGGAGGGAGAAUUCCACUUCUUCUGCCAACCAGCAACCCUGCUGGCAGCUGUGUUUGAGAAAAGCGUGCCUAUCAACUAAUGAUGCCUAACCCCUCUCCUGGCUCCUGAAUGGAGAGUCUGUGUUGGUGGUAUUGAUACCCACCAUUAACAAAAACUUCGCUUACUUUCAAAAAUGUAGAUCCUUUUAUGAAUUCUUCAUCAUAACAAAGGCAAUGGUUUCCCAUUUUUGUCUUAAUUGUAUGUUUGCCCAAAUUUGAUGGAUCAUGUUUUGGUUUUUAUAUAAUUUUCUUUUUCCAGAUUUCCAUUUAGGGUCCUCAGGCUGAAACUAGGCAUAUCCCAUGGCCCAGGCUGGUUGGACACAACUAAAUCUACAUAAAUCUCCAUUGAGUCUCCGAGGAGAUUCGAUGAGAAAAUAUUUUAGGAAACAGCGUUAUGAGUCUCUGUGCUCAGUGAUAUUUAAGUUGGCUGACCAUUUCAAUUUUGGAAAUUAUAGUCCAUUAACAUGAAAAAAAGGCAAUUACAUGUUUGUAUAUUUCUACCUAUGCUUGUGCUUUUUGCAAAUGUUUAUAAAGAGUGGCAUGAUAAAAUAAAAUAAUUUUGUGUUUGC